rnacentral:rRNA from 1 species
AGCGAACGUUAGCGGCGGGCCUAACACAUGCAAGUCGAACGAGAAAAUCCCUUCGGGGGUGAGUACAGUGGCGCACGGGUGAGGAACGCGUAGGUAAUCUACCCUCUGGCGGGGGACAACACUCCGAAAGGAAUGCUAAUACCGCGUAAGACCACACCUACUACGGUAGGAGCGGUUAAAGGUGGCCUCUUCUUGAAAGCUACCACCAGAGGAUGAGCCUGCGUCCCAUCAGCUUGUUGGUAAGGUAACGGCUUACCAAGGCAAAGACGGGUAGCUGGUCUGAGAGGAUGAUCAGCCACACUGGCACUGGAACACGGGCCAGACUCCUACGGGAGGCAGCAGUGAGGAAUAUUGGGCAAUGGGCGAAAGCCUGACCCAGCCACGCCGCGUGAGUGAUGAAGGCCUUCGGGUCGUAAAGCUCUGUGGGGAGGGACGAAAAAUCUCCGUUCAAAUAGGGCGGAGCCUUGACGGUACCUCCUUAGCAAGCACCGGCUAACUCUGUG